GGGUGUAGUUCAACGGUAGAACAGUGGUCUCCAAAACCAUCGAUCAGGGUUCGAUUCCUUGUACC
rnacentral:tRNA from 1 species